UACAGAGGUCUCAAGCGUUGUUCGGAUUCAUUGGGCGUAAAGGGCGCGUAGGCUGCGGGGUAAGUCGGGUGUGAAAUCUCAGAGCUCAACUCUGAAACUGCACUCGAUACUGCUUUGCUUGAGGACUGGAGAGGAGAUUGGAAUUCACGGUGUAGCAGUGAAAUGCGUAGAUAUCGUGAGGAAGACCAGUGGCGAAGGCGGAUCUCUGGACAGUUCCUGACGCUGAGGCGCGAAGGCCAGGGGGAGCAAACGGG
rnacentral:rRNA from 1 species